UCAGAGUGUCCUGGGCCGCCACCUUUCUUACUCUCCUGCCACCAUAUGAAGAGGGACCAAGAGGAAGUGGAAAAUUUCAAGAAGAAGGGAAAGAGGGUCUGUUGGCUUGAUGGGGCCAGGGCUGGCCCAGCAGGAGUUUAGACAUCCUGAACAUGUUUGGCACACAGUGGCCAUCAGCCACAAUGAGAACAGCAUGAAUGAAGUCAAGGGACACACCCAGAAGAACAGCAAGCUGCCUUGACCAGAACCUCGAAGGAUCG
rnacentral:lncRNA from 1 species